ACGAACGCUGGCGGCGUGCUUAACACAUGCAAGUCGAACGGUGACGAGGAGCUUGCUCCUCUGAUCAGUGGCGAACGGGUGGGUAACACGUGAGUAACCUGCCCCAGACUCUGGAAUAAACAGUUGGAAACAGCUGCUAAUACCGGAUACGAGACGGAGAGGCAUCUCUACCGUCUGGAAAGUUUUUCGGUCUGGGAUGGACUCGCGGCCUAUCAGCUUGUUGGUGAGGUAAUGGCUCACCAAGGCGACGACGGGUAGCCGGCCUGAGAGGGCGACCGGCCACACUGGGACUGAGACACGGCCCAGACUCCUACGGGAGGCAGCAGUGGGGAAUAUUGCACAAUGGGCGAAAGCCUGAUGCAGCAACGCCGCGUGAGGGAUGACGGCCUUCGGGUUGUAAACCUCUUUCAGUAGGGAAGAAGCGAAAGUGACGGUACCUACAGAAGAAGCACCGGCUAACUACGUG
rnacentral:rRNA from 1 species